UACAGAGGUGCCGAGCGUUAGGCGGAAUCACUGGGCUUAAAGCGCGUGUAGGCGGGUCGGUAAGUGUCUUGUGAAAUCCCACGGCUCAACCGUGGAACUGCUGGGCAUACUGCCGACCUUGAGGCACUUAGGGGCGAGCGGAACAAACGGUGGAGCGGUGAAAUGCGUAGAUAUCGUUUGGAACGCCGACGGUGAAAACAGCUCGCUGGGAGUGUCCUGACGCUGAGACGCGAAAGCCAGGGGAGCGAACGGG
rnacentral:rRNA from 1 species